GCUCCGUCGAAAUCCGUUGAGACGACACUGUUUGAAUUAUGGUUUGGGAAGAAACCUAAGCUGUCGUUUCUAAAAGUUUGGGGAUGUGAUGCUUAUGUCAAGAAACUUCAACCUGAAAAGCUCGAACCCAAAUCGGAAAAAUGUGUCUUCAUAGGAUACUCUAAAGAAACUAUUGGGUAUACCUUCUACCUCAGAUCCGAAGGCAAGAUCUUUGUUGCCAAGAAUGGAUCCUUUCUAGAGAAAGAGUUUCUCUCGAAAGAAGUAAGUGGGAGGAAAGUAGAACUUGAUGAAGUAUUACCUCUUGAACCGGAAAAUGGCGCAACUCAAGAAAAUGUUCCUGAG
rnacentral:rRNA from 1 species